UCGACGUCAAAGCCUGAUCUCAUCAGAUCUCAGAAGCUAAGCAGGGCUGAGCUUGUUUAGUACAUGGACGGGAGACCGGUGUGAUACCAGGU
rnacentral:rRNA from 1 species